GUCCACGCCGUAAACUAUCAAUACUCGUUUUCAGCGAUAUACUGUUGGAGACUAAGCGAAAGUGAUAAGUAUUGCACCUGGGGAGUACGAUCGCAAGGUUGAAACUCAAAGGAAUUGACGGGGGCCCCGCACAAGCGGUGGAGCAUGUGGUUUAAUUCGAUGAUACGCGAGGAACCUUACCAGGGCUUAAAUGUAGAGGGAAUGAUUUGGAAACAGAUCAGUCUUCGGACCGUCUACAAGGUGCUGCAUGGCUGUCGU
rnacentral:rRNA from 1 species